rnacentral:rRNA from 1 species
UACGUAGGGGGCGAGCGUUGUCCGGAUUCAUUGGGCGUAAAGCGCCCGCAGGCGGCCGGCCGCGUCGUGCGUGAAAUCCCCCGGCUCAACCGGGGGGGGUCGGGCGAUACGGGCCGGCUGGAGCGCGGUAGGGGGAAGCGGAAUUCCGGGUGUAGUGGUGGAAUGCGUAGAGAUCCGGAGGAACACCGGUGGCGAAGGCGGCUUCCUGGACCGUGGCUGACGCUCAGGGGCGAAAGCGUGGGGAGCGAUCCGGA